rnacentral:lncRNA from 1 species
AGUUCCCGCCUCGCGGUGUGUGCCUGCCCCGCUGCGAUGGAGGUCCUAAGAGCAAGGGGGGGAAGAGGGGCUGGCUCUGGUAGAUUGCAAAUGACCUGCUUUUUUUCUGAUCCCGAGCUGCGUUCGGACCCCUGUCGGAUAGUAAAUCCCAGUAAGGUACCUGCCGUGGGCAGAUCUGAGCUUUCUUCUUGGACACCCCAUACCCACAGUCCUCCAGGCCACCCUUAAGUACAAUGUUCUCCUACCUAAGAAGGCAUCUGGAUUUUCUCUUUCCUUGGAAAUAGUAAAGAACUACUCUUUGACUGUUUUUGACCUCACAGUGAACCUCAAAUACACUGGAAUUCGCAAUAAAUCCAGUAUGGUGGUUAUAGAUGUAAAAAUGCUAUCAGGAUUUACUCCAACCAUGUCAUCCAUUGAAGAGCUUGAAAACAAGGGCCAAGUGAUGAAGACUGAAGUCAAGAAUGACCAUGUUCUUUUCUACUUGGAAAAUGUUUUUGGUCGAGCAGACAGUUUCACUUUUUCUGCUGAGCAGAGCAACCUUGUGUUCAACAUUCAGCCAGCCCCAGGCAUGGUCUACGAUUAGUACGAAAAAGGUGGAGAAGCAUUUCUUUUAACAAACUGAUUCUUCUGUAUCAAACCUGGAAAAAAAUCAUGAACCAUCUGACAUCGUGAACAGUCUGCAGUGGGCUAUGGUUUCUUGACAAGUCUUAUUUCCUUAUCAUCCCAUUAAAUGUUGUCAUUUUGCAUCUGA